AAUAAGCGCAGUGUGGGUAUCAGUGUCUAACUUUGACCAUCCGUUUUAUUUAAAAUAUUUGUAUUGUUAUUAGAUGCUAAAAUAUGAAUAAUACUUUAUGAGUAAAUUAACUUUUAAAAUUUUUUUAUAAAUUUUUCAAAUAAGACGUAUGGUUAAAUACGUUGGACACGAAAACUUAUAAUGCGACGGAUG
rfam:Oryza glumipatula chromosome 3, whole genome shotgun sequence.